AAACUUACAGUGACGUGGACAUCAUGCAAAGACUGCCAGACUCUGUAAUACUGUAAAUGAUCAGUGACUCAGGUUAACACUAAACUUUAAACAGUCCCUCUGUGUCUCUGUGUGUGCUGAACAUCUAGGAUUGAGUCAGGCUGCAUUGACUGUGGGACUUUUCUGUGUUAAAAACUGGUUGAAGACGGCUCAGAAACAUUUGAAGAUUAAAAUUUAGCAUUAUGGCUGCUGGUGGAGGCGCUGAAAGGUUUCCCUAAUAGUUCCUGGUGAAUCAAAGCAGAACCAUAAAGGUUGCUGGACUGCAUCGUGGCCUUACCCCUGAGCAGUCAUCCUGUUAAAGGAGGAACCAGUUAGAAGCUGUUUUCAAAGUAGCUGAGCAGAUUUCAUCUCAACAGACAAAGCCGAUGGCAGAAGAUGUUUGGAGAAGAACUUCAGGCCGUGGACUGAAAAGGUAUUUUUUUCUUGUUAUCAAAAGACAUUUGGAGUGACGGCUUCUACAACUGUGCUGAUGUGAAGCUUACAGGCUAAGAAGUCACAGUGUUGAUAUUCAGCACAAAGAGAAAAGCUCACUUGUUUGAAUUUAUUUACAAUCAUAGUUUUUAUAAAUUCUGACUGUAAACAGCUUUUACAGCUUUGAUAUUGUUUGACACUCGAUAUCAGGUGAUGGUAUUUAAUUUAAAGGUUUCUUUGUCCCAAUGAGCCAUUUACACUGACCAGUGUUUCACUUUAACUGUAACACAUUCAUUAUUUAGAUCCAACAUUUCUAAGAGAAACAACUGAAUGUAAAAAAUGGCAGCCCUCAGGCCAGGUUUAAUUGAUAGAGAUAUAUGCAUGCAUUAUGAAAUUUAUGUAUCCCAGAUAAUUGUUAUUCAUCUAGUCCUGGCAGAUCCACCCCUUCCUCCCAAGUUAACUGCAACCCAAAAGAACUAGUGGGGCUAUUUACACACUCACAACCAGUGUGGGGUAGAAAGAGCCAUCAAAAACCUGUCAGCCUGCACAGCUACAGAUGUGCUAAAAGCUAUAAGAGUUAGAAGCUCUGCUUAUGGAGAAACUUUCUAAGCCUAACAGGGGACAGGUACUCCUGCCCAAAUAACAUGAUAUAACCCCACAUACAGCCCAGCCAUGAAGUGAACCAAGUCAUUUAGUUAAAGACAGCAUGGGACCAAAUGCAUGUAACCAGCCUGCACCAACCUGACAUUUCUUCCUCCUGAAUUAAAUGAAUGAAUGGAUGAAAGUUAAAUGACUACAAACCUAAAGCCACUAGUUCCCACACUGGAGUUCCCUGACACUGU